CGCGUUGGAGUACAAACUUUAUACUUCACUUGUACAUGUGUAGAAGAAGAUAAUAGAAGGAAAUUGGAGUUAAAUGAGUGUUGGGAGGACUAAAUUAAAAAAGGAAAAAACUUGGAGGGCAAAACGGUAAUUUUACACAAAGUUUGGUCAAAGCUUCCAACGGAAGCUUUGACUCUCAUCUUUAUUAGCCCAAAACCAUCCUUGUCUCCUCUAGCAAGAUAUUUCUUCUCCUUCUUGAAGCUUCCAACGCCAUUUUCAUGUCAAGUUCAUGAGAAUGAAAUUUUUUUCAUGUAAUGUUCCUUGUUUUUUCUCAUUUCCUUUCUCUUCUUGCUUCUUUCUUCUCCCAACUUCUUAUGCACCAAAGUUACAACUUUUAACCCUAAUUUCUAGCACCUACAAACCCUAGAGGUCAACUGGAAUCCUCAACAAAAUCAAAUAUCUACAAGCUACCACGGGCCUGAAAUAUUUGAAAAGGAGGUGGGUGAGAUUUUGCAAUCCCAAUGAGUAAACAGACAUUAUCAUAAAUAUCUAAAGGCGAGUAAAAUGGAGGCAAGUUUAAACAACAAAUUACAAACCAUUUCAUAAGGUUUUCAAUUUAUUUCUUAAACCAUAAAAUAUUUGUAAUUUACCAAAACAAUUGUUAAGGCUUAUGACUUUUAUUAAAAACAGGGCUCAAGCCAAAAACUAAUCCUCGGGGAUACCUUGGUCGAGGCAUCUAACCGAGUCCGCCAAGGUUGUUAAGAUAUUUACAUGUUAAACACAUUCUAGUUUUGAAAACAAGCCGUUCCUUGGCGUUGGUCGAGUUACACAUUCACGUGGGGGUUCGAUGUGAAGUGAGCUCUAACACUACCCCGGGAGCUACGCUCCUCGCCUCCACAACUGGAGUAACUAUGUAACGGGGUUUACCGUAUCCCUCUAAUAAGCAGUUCACGAAAACCCAUCACUACAGUGACUAAACCCACCAAUUUUAAUAAAAUUUUGACAGUAUAAUGUGGCUUUUAUUUAUUUACCCAGCCUGCAUAGUAAAAGACAGCUUACAUAAAUUCCCAAUGCAAUUAUAACAUAUAGCCACAUAUACUCAUAUAUCAUAAGCCAUUCAUAGGAAAAUAUAUAUUUCAAAAUAAUUGGCAGCCUCCAAUUACUCAAUUUCAUAAUCAACACAAUAUAUUUUUAUUUGUCACAUUUAUUUCUAAAACAUCAAAAAUC
rnacentral:lncRNA from 1 species